ACGAACGCUGGCGGCGUGCUUAACACAUGCAAGUCGAACGGUGAACGAGGGAGCUUGCUCCCUCCGGAUCAGUGGCGAACGGGUGAGUAACACGUGAGCAAUCUGCCCCGAACUCUGGGAUAAGCGUUGGAAACGACGUCUAAUACCGGAUACGACGCGGGAGGGCAUCCUCUCCGCGUGGAAAGAACUUCGGUUCGGGAUGAGCUCGCGGCCUAUCAGCUUGUUGGUGAGGUAACGGCUCACCAAGGCGACGACGGGUAGCCGGCCUGAGAGGGUGACCGGCCACACUGGGACUGAGACACGGCCCAGACUCCUACGGGAGGCAGCAGUGGGGAAUAUUGCACAAUGGGCGCAAGCCUGAUGCAGCAACGCCGCGUGAGGGACGACGGCCUCCGGGUUGUAAACCUCUUUUAGCAGGGAAGAAGCGAAAGUGACGGUACCUGCAGAAAAAGCACCGGCUAACUACGUG
rnacentral:rRNA from 1 species